UAACCUGCCCAAGAGAUCGGGAUAACACCUGGAAACAGAUGCUAAUACCGGAUAACAACAGAUGAUGCCUAUCAACUGUUUAAAAGAUGGUUCUGCUAUCACUCUUGGAUGGACCUGCGGUGCAUUAGCUAGUUGGUAGGGUAACGGCCUACCAAGGCGAUGAUGCAUAGCCGAGUUGAGAGACUGGUCGGCCACAUUGGGACUGAGACACGGCCCAAACUCCUACGGGAGGCAGCAGC
rnacentral:rRNA from 1 species